AUGCACGGUGAGGGCGAGGCAGGGCUUGCGAUGCACUUGAAAUGGAAGGCAUGGAUGUCUUCUUCGCGGAUGUUCGCAUGCGACGUGAUAGUAUUGCACAUCAAGGGGAGCAAAUUUCCGAAAGUGGUCAGGUCUGGAAAAGGAAUAGCUCUUUCUCAAAGAAAGUAUACUCUGGACCUCCUCUAUGAUGUUGGCAUGCUGGCUUGUCGAGCUGCUUCAACGGUAAUUGAUCAAAGCCAUAAGGAUGUAUUUGACAAGGACACAUUCUACAGCGAUCCAAUGAUCAACACGGAGCUGGAUAUCGGGCCGCUGGUGGAUGUUGUGAAGAUGAGGCUCCAGAGUAUCCCUGACAACGUCGUCAUGAAGAAACUUGUGCCAAAUAGGCAGAACUUCCUGGCCAAGGAGAGCGUGAUAUACGUGUCCGAGGGGACUAUGAUGCAGGACGUGGUUCUAAGGCUGAGGAACGUGGAGUACGGGACAUCCCCCGAUCUAAGGGUGUAUGAAACUUCGAAUUCUGCGGUACACUCCCUGAGUGCUUGCAAAGUUCUCAAGUCAAAGCUGAAUCGUACCAUUAGAUAUGAAGCUUAA
rnacentral:rRNA from 1 species